UCUUCCGCAAUGGACGCAAGUCUGACGGAGCAACGCCGCGUGAGUGAUGAAGGUUUUCGGAUCGUAAAACUCUGUUGCGAGGGAAGAAACCGUGCCAAUUAACUACUGGCACCUUGACGGUACCUCGCCAGAAAGCCACGGCUAACUACGUGCCAGCAGCCGCGGUAAUACGUAGGUGGCAAGCGUUGUCCGGAAUUAUUGGGCGUAAAGCGCGCGCAGGCGGUCCCUUAAGUCUGAUGUGAAAGCCCACGGCUCAACCGUGGAGGGUCAUUGGAAACUGGGGGACUUGAGUUCAGAAGAGGAAAGUGGAAUUCCAUGUGUAGCGGUGAAAUGCGUAGAGAUGUGGAGGAACACCAGUGGCGAAGGCGACUUUCUGGUCUGUAACUGACGCUGAGGCGCGAAAGCGUGGGGAGCAAACAGG
rnacentral:rRNA from 1 species